rnacentral:rRNA from 1 species
GCGUUGUCCGGAAUCAUUGGGCGUAAAGGGCGCGUAGGUGGCACGGUAAGCGUGCGGUGAAAGUUCAGGGCUCAACCCUGAGUCUGCCGUGCGAACUGCUGGGCUAGAGCACUGUAGAGGCAGGCGGAAUUCCGGGUGUAGCGGUGGAAUGCGUAGAGAUCCGGAAGAACACCGGUGGCGAAGGCGGCCUGCUGGGCAGUGGCUGACACUGAGGCGCGACAGCGUG